rnacentral:rRNA from 1 species
UACGAAGGGGGCUAGCGUUGCUCGGAAUCACUGGGCGUAAAGCGCACGUAGGCGGUCUUUUAAGUCAGGGGUGAAAUCCUGGAGCUCAACUCCAGAACUGCCUUUGAUACUGGGAGACUUGAGUCCGGGAGAGGUGAGUGGAACUGCGAGUGUAGAGGUGAAAUUCGUAGAUAUUCGCAAGAACACCAGCGGCGAAGGCGGCUCACUGGCCCGGUACUGACGCUGAGGUGCGAAAGCGUGGGGAGCAAACAGG